CUUUGGGUUGUAAAGCUCUUUCGUCGGGGAAGAAAAUGACGGUACCCGAAUAAGAAGGUCCGGCUAACUUCGUGCCAGCAGCCGCGGUAAUACGAAGGGACCUAGCGUAGUUCGGAAUUACUGGGCUUAAAGAGUUCGUAGGUGGUUAAAAAAGUUGGUUGUGAAAUCCCGAAGCUUAACUUCGGAACUGCAAUCAAAACUUUUUAGCUAGAGUAUGAUAGAGGAAAGCAGAAUUUCUAGUGUAGAGGUGAAAUUCGUAGAUAUUAGAAAGAAUACCAAUUGCGAAGGCAGCUUUCUGGAUCAUUACUGACGCUGAGGAACGAAAGCAUGGGUAGCGAAGAGGAUUAGAUACCCUCGUAGUCCAUGCCGUAAACGAUGUGUGUUAGACGUUGGAAAUUUAUUUUCAGUGUCGCAGCGAAAGCAGUAAACACACCGCCUGGGGAGUACGACCGCAAGGUUAAAACUCAAAUGAAUUGACGGGGACCCGCACAAGUAGUGGAGCAUGUGGUUUAAUUCGAAGAUACGCGCAGAACCUUACCAACACUUGACAUGUUCGUCGCGGCUCUAAGAGAUUAGAGCUUUCGGUUCGGCCGGACGAAACACAGGUGCUGCAUGGCUGUCGUCAGCUCGUGUCGUGAGAUGUUGGGUUAAGUCCCGCAACGAGCGCAACCCUCACUUUUAGUUGCCACCAUUUAGUUGGGCACUCUGAAAGAACUGCCAGUGAUAAGCUGGAGGAAGGUGGGGAUGACGUCAAGUCCUCAUGGCCCUUACGUGUUGGGCUACACACGUGCUACAAUGGCAUUUACAAUAGGAAGCAAGAUGGCGACGUCAAGCAAAUCCUAAAAAGAUGCCUCAGUUCGGAUUGUACUCUGCAACUCGAGUACAUGAAGCUGGAAUUACUAGUAAUCGCGGAUCAGCGCGCCGCGGUG
rnacentral:rRNA from 1 species